rnacentral:rRNA from 1 species
AGUGAACGCUGGCGGCAGGCCUAACACAUGCAAGUCGAGCGGCAGCGGGUCCUUCGGGAUGCCGGCGAGCGGCGGACGGGUGAGGAAUACAUCGGAAUCUGCCCUGUCGUGGGGGAUAACCUAGGGAAACUUAGGCUAAUACCGCAUACGAUCUACGGGUGAAAGCCGUGGAUCGCAAGACCUCGCGCGACAGGAUGAGCCGACGUCCGAUUAGCUAGUUGGCGGGGUAAAGGCCCACCAAGGCGACGAUCGGUAGCUGGUCUGAGAGGAUGAUCAGCCACACUGGGACUGAGACACGGCCCAGACUCCUACGGGAGGCAGCAGUGGGGAAUCUUCGACAAUGGGCGCAAGCCUGAUCCAGCCAUGCCGCGUGGGUGAAGAAGGCCUUCGGGUUGUAAAGCCCUUUUGUCCGGGAAGAAAUCGUCUGGGCUAAUACCCCGGGCGGAUGACGGUACCGGAAGAAUAAGCACCGGCUAACUUCGUG